rnacentral:lncRNA from 10 species
UUCUAACAGAUUUUUGAGAAGUACAUACAGGAAAACAUUUCACAGUUUCCUAAAAACUUAAACACACACUCGAUGAUGCCUGCCUCACUACGCGCCUGGAGGCUUGUCUGCGAGGAAUCAAAGGAAUCUGGUAGUGAUGGCUGAAAACUGGGUCCCAGAUGCUCACUGCUGGGGAACAGGGACAUCAGUCACCGAAUCUGCACUAAGCUCCAAGAGGACCAACUGCCACACGCAGUGUGCUGACUCACCAGAGUGGGAAAACCACGCAGAAGAUAGCGGGGCCACAGGGAGCAUCCACCCCACAUUCUAGAAUGGAGAGAGCCACACAGAAGACAGCGGGGCCAUGGGGAGCAUCCGCCCCACAUUCUAGAACAGGCAAAACCUCCAGCAGGACGAGGAGCUUUCCUGAGGAUGGCACAGGCUGCAGGCACUGCCCACACAGACCUGUAGGUUCACCAAAACUUGCUGAAUUGCAUGCCUGAAAUCACAGAAUUCUGCCGUAUGUAAACAACACCUUCAACACAGCUGCUUCCAGGUGUGGUAGCUCACGUCUGAAAUCCCAGCACUUUAGGAGGCUGAGGCAGGAGGAUCUCUUGAGCCUAGGUCAAGACCAGCCAAGGCAACACAGUGAGACCCCAUCUCCACAAAAAAAAUAAAAAUUAGCCAGGCAUGGUGGCGUGCACCUGUGGUCCCAGCUACUCAGGAGGCUGAGGCUCCUGGGAUGUUUCUAUCACUGGGAAUCGUGACUUUUCACACUGCAGGGGAUGAGCCUGGUGUGUCACCGGCCUUGCCUCCUGGGGCUGUCUGAAGCUGCUGGGCUUCUGGAUGUGGCCCCCCCGUGGGUGUGCAAAAUCCUGUAUCAUAAAAAAAACCAGCUGCUCACACGCACACUUCUCCAAUUCAAGCAGAAGCUGCUGAAGCACAAACAAGACACUGCACGUAGAACAAGGAAGAAUGAAAAGCAUGGGCGGGUACCAUGAACACAUGUGUGUGUCAGGACUGCAGGCAACAGGCACCCCUCCGCCAGUCUCAGGUUAACUGAUGCUGAAGUCUACUCUGGAAAUCCUUUUCUGACUGCAUUUUGAAGACCAUCUUCUACUUUCCAGGUUGGAAUUCAUAUUCUGGUUCUCAGUACACUGUAGAUAACCUGGUGCUACGCUCUGAAUGUGUCCCCCAAAGGCAUGUGCUGGAAACUGAACACCCAGUGCUGCAGCGCUAGGAGGUGGG